rnacentral:rRNA from 1 species
GACGAACGCUGGCGGCGUGCCUAACACAUGCAAGUCGAACGGAAAGGCCCUGCUUUUGUGGGGUGCUCGAGUGGCCAACGGGUGAGUAACCCGUGAGUAACCUGUCCCUGACUUUGGGAUAACUUAAGGCAACUGGGGCUAAUACCGCCUAGGAGCUCCUGCUGCAUGGUGGGGGCUGGUAAGUUUCGGCGGUUGGGGAUGGACUCGCGGCUUAUCAGCUUGUUGGUGGGGUAGUGGCUUACCAAGGCUUUGACGGGUAGCCGGCCUGGGAGGGUGACCGGCCACAUUGGGACUGAGAUACGGCCCAGACUCCAACGGGAGGCAGCGGUGGGGAAUAUUGCACAAUGGGCGGAGGCCUGAUGCAGCAACGCCGCGUGCGGGAUGACGGCCUGCGGGUUGUGAACCACUUUCGCCUGUGACGAAGCGUGAGUGACGGUAAUGGGUAAAGAAGCACCGGCUAACUACGUG